AUGCUCGGGGGUCCGGGAGGUCCCGGGGGCGACAAGCACGCGCACGACCGUGUCCGAGGGUCUCUCAACCACCGCUUGUCGUGGCGACCGUCGCCGAGGACUCGAUUUUAGGCCAACCACGGGCGGGAGCGCGCGGGAGACCAGUAUCCGCCCCCGCCCUCGUGAGCCGAGGGGAGUGGGGGCGACGAUGCGUGACACCCAGGCAGACGUGCCCUCGACCAGGAGGCCUCGGGCGCAACUUGCGUUCAAAGACUCGAUGGUUCACGGGAUUCUGCAAUUCACACCAAGUAUCGCAUUUCGCUACGUUCUUCAUCGAUGCGAGAGCCGAGAUAUCCGUUGCCGAGAGUCGUUCAGAUUAUCACAAGAAGAAGGCGCGCCCCCGACACCGAGGCUACGAGGGCGUGCUCCUAGUACUCAAUUUCCUUGGCGCUUCUCGCGCCGGGGUUCGUUGGCGAGCCGUGUCGGGCGCAGAUGCGUCCCUCCACGGCACGCGUGGACACGAGGGGCGGGUGCCCCCCGAGCCCAGCUUGUCAUGCCACGGGUUCGCGGGU
rnacentral:misc_RNA from 1 species